UGCUCUAAGGAGUAAGGUCCCAUGACCGAACCAAUCUGUUGCUCUGACCUACCAGAGCCCCAAUCCCGGCUCAUUAAAAAUCUUCUCUAGUCUACCGCGCUACGCCAGCUGCUGCCGAGCGUCGUCGCCGACGCCUCACGGCCCAAACCCUAACCCACCUCUCACGCGCGUCGCCGCCACCAUCGCCGUUCCCAUUCCACCUCGUCACGUCCCUGCCGUAUUCACCCCGUCCGAAACCUUGGACAUUGGUUUCUGAAGGCCACCAGGUUACCUAGAAUCAUCAUGUCAGGAAGAGAUCGCCUGCCGCGCCGUUUUGUCGAAGAUGGAAGGGGCUAUGUUGACGCCCGUGUGGCUGAGGAUCGCAGGGGUCAUCAUCCUGGUAUCCGAGUGGUUGAUGAUCGUAGGGGCCAUCACGAGAUCCGUGUAGUCGAAGAUCGCAGAGCCUAUCCUGCAGUUCGUGUGAUUGAGGAUCGUAGAGCCUACCCUGAGAUUCACGAAAGGCCGCUCAUGAGGGUGGCUCCUCGCUCUCACCUGGAUGUCCUAGAGGAAGAAAUUCAGUUGCACGAGAUUGAUUUCCGCAGGCUUAUGGCUGAUCGUCAUGCUCUAGCUGAGGAACGGAUGGAGUUGCACAGGGAGUUGCAAGCCGGAAAGGAGGAGGUCCGUCACCUUAACAUGAUCAUCGCAGAGAUUAAUGCCAAGAAGGAAGCUUAUAUCAGCGAGCUCGUUGACAAGAGAAGGAAGCUUGAAGCUGAACUUAGAUCAAAUGAGCCUUUGAGAGAUGAGGUUGUGCAUCUUCGUGGUGAAAUCGAGAAGCUCCUUGCUGUUAGGAAAGAACUCUCUGCAAAGGCUGCAUCACUCAUGCAGGAGCUGAGUAGGGAGAGAUCUGAUAAACAACAGUUACCUAUGCUGAAAGCAGAGAUUGAGGGCCUUCAACUGGAACUUACCCAUGCAAGUUGUAUUGUUUGCAGGAAUGCAUGUGAAUUGGAGCAGAAGGGGAAUUUCGAGUUGGUGGAACAAAGGAAAGCAAUGGAGAAGAGUAUGAUUUCGAUGGCACAAGAAAUUCAACAAAUGCGGGCCGAAUUAGCUAAUUUUGAUGGCAGACCAUGGGGCACAGAAAAUUCGCUCUCAUGGUACUAUGUCUAUCUGCUCUCUAAGGUGGAGCACAUGGGAUGAAGCUGGGCAGUCCUGAAGCGACCUUCCCUACUCAAUAUGGAGAUAAAUACAAUAUACAUGCGGGAGUUUCUGAGAAAGGUCCUUCGCACCCUCCUGAAUCUUCGUGGGGCACAUUUGAGAAGAACCGUUUCCAGUACCGCUAAGACCCCAGCUGCUACAUUCCGGGGAGAAAGAAUCACCUCUAGGUUGAAUCCUCAGUUGGUCCUUUCCUCUGAUGACAGAAGAUGUAUUUGUUCAUGUGAAGGAGCCGUCACUGCCAGAAAACAGUAAUAAAUAUGGUAACGGGGAUAACUGUUGCCUUUCUGACGCUGAAGGUUCUAUGCCAGUUAACUGAUACAUCUAGAGAUGCGCUCUUCUAAAACAUCAUAUUUUCUAGACAUCCCUGAAAAGAGAUCAAGAUGGAUUAUCAUACCAGUUGGAGAUAUGGGAAAUGGUUAAAUCAGUCAAGAGUGCCCUAGCAACACUUGGAAGGUCUUGAAUGUGGGCGUGUGGGCGAUUGGGUUCAUUUGCAGGCAUUAAGUUUUGUUGUGGUUUUGGGGGAAGAGUGAACUUGUGCCAUAGAAGUUUCUGGUUGUCUGGAAGCCCCUGUUCUGUGUCACUGUCGUGAUAAUUUCCUUUCUCCAUAGGGAAGUUGAAAAGAGAUUCUGCUACAAAUUGUAUAGCAGUGAAGCCCCUGUUGGUGGAUUGAACUGUGCCUGGCCAUGAUGCUUCCA